CCCGCGAAGACGCGGGAUCCAAAGGAAGCCAGCAGCGAACCUUCCGGCCCGACGAACAGGAACCGCACCAGGCUGGGGAUAGUUGCAUGAGCUUACUAAGCAAAGCGAAAUCCGUUCUGCCGCAGGCUAUAAGCACGUCGGGUAGAUGGAGUGAGAGCCAGCGUU
rfam:Syntrophothermus lipocalidus DSM 12680, complete genome.